CAUAAGAAAAAUAAAAAAAUAAUCAAAAAGAGAAAACCAGGACUGCUAAAUUUAAACUUGAAAGCUCAAAAGAAAAACAUCAAACGAUUUCUUAAUAGAAUCAUGCAAUGCAACCAAAUAGCUUGAAUUUAAAACAUGAAUAUCGAAAUAUUUGCCCAUUGGUCUUUGGCACACUGCUGCAAAGCCUAGAGCAGCCAAGCGUACCAACAAAAUUUAGCAUAUCUUACCAUCAAGCAGGUCCCAGCACGAACAUUACAGAUGGGAUAGUCAUGUGGGCAGCAGCUAUAGUGGUCAUCACAGCAGGUGGCAGCCUCAAGCGGGCAGCAUCCCCAUGCAAAGCAAGAGUUACCAUACUCAAAGACACAGCAGCAAGUGUUGCUCUCAGGGCAAGAGUAAUAAUUGUCACACACAGCAGGAGGCUUUGUUGGAGAUGGAGGGGACGGUCCAGGGUUGGGAGGAUUUUGGCCUUUCUUUAUGGGAUAUGAGGCCUCCAUGGCAAUUCCACACUUGCCCGUGAGAGUGCCAGCCACGUUACGCUCCAUCCUAAUAUAGCCAGCCUCUCCCCAGCUACUGCCCCAUGAAUUCUUCACAAUCCAGUAAUCAGCUCCAUUUUCUGUGCCAUAUCCAACAGCAGUAACACCAUGGUCCAGAGAUGUCCCACAUCUUCCCGUAAAUAUACCCUGAAAAUUUGCAAAGACAGAAAAAUAUACUUGAGACUUCCUUAAAACAGAUCAGACACACACAAGACUCUUCCUGAUCCUGUUUAGAAACCAUUAGAAAUACAAUAAUUUUUGUUCAAAUACCAUCCAGUAUUGUCUCAACCAUAUCUUUUCAGAACUGCAAAAUGCAAAUACUUUGUAUCUAGAUAAUAGCAACAUUCCUAAAUCUAAAAUGUGACAAGUGCCAUGAAGAGAUGAAAGUUACCGAUUCAUAUAACUGGAAUGCCAUGCCACCUCCUUCAAUGGCAACACUCACGGGUUGAUUUGCAACUGCCUUUUGCAAAGCUUUCUCGUCAUUUAGGGGAACAUCUUCAUAGUCAUCAAUUGUAACUACUUUGGCAUUUUUCUGACAAAGCCAAAAACCAAAGGCUUAGAAUGAUCCUCCAUUAUAUAGUAUGGCAUUUCUUCGUAAAACAAUAGAGUAAAAAUACCUACCCGAUAUGUGUCACAGCUACCAUCAAUGGCUUUGUAGGGGUAAUCUUCUUCUGUGUCAAUACCUCCAUUAUCAAUAAUGAACUCGAAUGCAUAGUCCAUCAAACCACCAUUACAUCCUUCAUUAUAUGAUGUAUCACAAUCCACCAACUCCUGCUCGGAUAGUGAGAUCAGGCUACCUGUAACAAUCUUGUUUAUACCCUCUACAGCUGCAAUGGUUGAAAAUGCCCAGCAACUCCCUUCAUUCAAGCGAGAUACAAUCAAAUAAUGGUUAGAAUCACACGACACAGAGAGCAACAGAUAAUUUGCUUUCUGAAUUUCUAACCAAGUUAAGUACUUAGACAACUCAAUAUUUGAAUAUGUUUUGUAUCUACAUCAGUUGAUUUAUUACCUACAAAAGUUAGGUAGGGGAAAAAAAAUCGUCACUUCAUAUAAUUCUGAGUUAUUAAGUUUGUUCAGAAUGAUGGAUUGAGGUUGAAUAAGACCGCAAAAGACUUGUAGGACAUAAAAUGUUUAAUAUCUCUCAUUGACAGGUUUUACCAUACUACAACUUUAAUGAUAAAUAAAAAAAUAAUUAACUUGCUACUACAGGACAAUGACUAAUACAAGUUAUGGCGUAAUAAUUAUUAUCUAAGGACUAAUCCCUAAAAUCUCUUAGAACGGAACAAGAUAUCAAGCUCGAAGCUCAUAGGUGGUGAAAUGAAUUACCAAUAUCCUGUACAAAUAAACAAAAUAAACGCACUUAUUUUGUUCAGAGCUUUAAUAAUUCUGCAGAUGCAGCCAACUGACACACUGAUAAGCGGCCCAGCCCACUGACACGUAUUAAAAUUUUGUGGUGUUACCAACUAUCACCAAAAGUGAUAGGAAUACGAUUUUCACGUCUACUGAACACAAAAAAAAUAUUACUACAGCUUUUAAAAAGGUCCGCCAAUCUGUACCCAAUGGCAGCUAUGUUCAACCAACAAGCUCUGGCCACGUCAGGACAGCCAAACAAGAUUCCAUCCAGACAGUUCUUUUUAUUUUCAUUUGGAAAACAUUUUCUCGUGAGGGAAAACAGAAAAUAUCUCGAGCCUUUCGUCAGAAGAUAUCUUCUUGUUUUUCACACUUCCUAAUUUCUUGUCAGUUUUUCUCUUUGUUGUUUUUCGACAAAACAAUAAAAAAGGAAUACUCAAUUUGGACCAUUGAUUAUCACAGUGGCCCAAGCCUCCGAACUCUCGCCAAAAGUCCGAGACGAAACAGCACUUUAAAAAAAUAAUCAUAAUAAUAGUGUCGGAGAAAAAAAGAAAUUCACGAAAACCAGAUUCUAAUUGAUGGAAAAGAUUAAAAAAUAACAGUAAUAGUCCUAACCGGUCAACUUAGCACAACUGCCCCCAACCGGAAGCAGUGCAGAUUCUUCUAACUCUAAUCAUCCUUAAAAUACCAAACAUACCCUUUCCUUUCCUUUCCUUUCCUCUCCGCAAUCGAUUCAUUCAUAAUUUUAAGAUAAUAAUUAAAGUACUGCAGGUAACGAAUAAAAUCUAAAAAAGAAAAAGUAAAUGAAAACAAUAAAAAAACUGACCACAGCUUCCUUGAUCUUUAACUUCAGCGACAGCUCCUUUCUUCCUCCAAUCAACAGAGUCCGGCAACGCCUCGCCGACACGUGGCAGAUAACGGUCGCUCCUCUUUGAUUUCAAGGAAGUCCUUUUAGCACCAAAGCGUGCACCCAGAUGCAUGGACCGGUACUCCUCGUUGGUCAAAUCAGCAAACCG
rnacentral:lncRNA from 1 species